CUAGCCUCCCAUACGAUCUAACGCACUAGCCUGUUCCCCAUCCUUCUGCGCUCGCAUCGCCCGCAACCACCCGUCCGCAUCCGUCGCCUCACGCCUUGCGCUAUCCUCUCCCCCUUGCUCGCGCCCGCUCGCCGCCUCGUCCUCGCCGUCCUCGGUCGCGCCAGCGUCGCCGCCGCCAUUGAUCCUCCCCGACGCCCUCUCCGUCCUUCCCCACAAGCGACGCCACCGCCGCCCCACCGCCCCGACGCCCUCUUCGUCCUCCUCGCCACCGCCAUCGCCGCCCCAUCGACUCCCUCUCCGUCCUCCUCGCCGCCGCCAUCGCCGCCCCACCGCCGCCCCAUCAACGCCCUCUCCGUCCUCCUCGCCGCCGCCAUCGCUGCCCCACCGCCUCCCCACCGCCAGCGACACCGCCGCCAUCGUUCCCCACCGCCGCCAUCGCCGCCCCACCGCCGCCCCAUCGACGCCCUCUCCGUCCUCCUCGCCGCACCACCGCCAGCGACGCCACCGCCGCCCCACCGCCACCGCCAUCGAUUCUUGCUACCAUCCUCACCACCGCCAUCAUCAUCCUCCCCCACCGCGCUGCUUUCGAUUCCCCUGACCGCCCCGCGUAGCCGCCGCCAUCGUUUCUCCCCGACGCCCUCGCCAUCCUCCUCGCCACAGCCAUCACGGUCGCGCCAGCGACGCCACCGCCGCCCCACCGCCCCGACGCCCUAUCCGUCCUCCUCGCUGCCGCCAUCGCCGCCCCACCGACGCACUCUCCGUCCUCGUCACCGCCGCCACCGCCGCCCCACCGCCAGCGACACCACCGCCAGCGAUGCCACCGCCGCCCCACUGCCACUGCCAUCGAUUCUUGCUGCCAUCCUCACCACCGCCAUCAUCAUCCUCCCCCACCGCGCUGCUUUCGAUUCCCCUGACCGCCCCGCGUAGCCACCGCCAUCGUUCCUCCCCGACGCCCUCGCCAUCCUCCUCACCACAGCCAUCGCUGUCCUCCACCAGCUCCCUCCCCCACUGCCGUCCUCGCCGCCGCCUGUCGCCGUCCUCACCCACCAGCUUCGACGCCGUCCAUCCUCCCCGCUGCCCUCACUGUCCUCCUCCACCAGUGCCAUCCUCCUCCACCGCGCCGCUAUCCUACAAGAAAAAUGAAUUUGUGAUUUAGAAGUAAAAUAAAUGCGUACAAUAUCACUGACCCUUGAAGUCAGAUGUGAUACAUCUUUGAGUGUUGAUCUUAUAAUGCUGGCUAUAAUCCAAUGUCAGAUGUUAUAUGUUGCUUGCUCAUGGAUACAAAGCAGUGGAUUUAUAAUGUCGACGGCAAUGCAGCUUAAUGUACAAUCUGUUUUUAUAUACAUCUGUUCAUGUGGAUUUACUAUUGUGAAAUCUGCUUGCGAUUUUUCUUCAUUUCUUUCUGAUCUACCAAACUGAGAUCAUAUUUACAUUUGUCUGAAUCAGAUUUUCUUUCUGUUAUCAGAUGAAAAGUUCAAAAGCAAACUAAUCAGAGAAUUUCUUCUUGCAGGUAACAAGCCUGCCGCCAGGCCUUGGUUCUGGGGUUCUCCUCCACCAUUCCAGUCUUCGCCGACACUGCCCGUGCCUCCAUCCACCGCCGCCGGAUUGGAACUGCGCUUGUGCGCCGCCUUCGUGCCGCCUUUCUGGCUUACACACAUUAAGAUAUGGAUAACAAUAUUGGGGGCUCCACACCAACAUCGUUAAGAAGAUCAUGCCCUUUUGCUGAUAUUAAUAAUGCGAGUGCUGGGGAUUCGCCCAAAAAACGUAACAAUAUUGGGGUCUUCACACCAACAUCGUUAACAAAAUCAACCCCGUUUGCCGAUAUUACUAAUACGAGCGCGGGGGAAUCACGUAUAAACAAUGUGCCUCAAAAGGAAAAUAUGCAAAAACUGCAAGAAGAUGGUGCUAAACUCAGCGCAUUAGAAUUAAGAAGGAAGCGUGCUAGAGAGAGGUAUGCAUCAAUGAGCCCAAAGAAAAAGGAGGCGAGGAAAAUGAAGGCCCGUGUGUACAAGCAAUUGAAGGAGGAUGAAUACUCAGCUCCACUUGGUGAUAUUACAAAUGUUAGUGUUGAUGAUUUAAGAAGAUGCCACGUAAAUGAUUGUUCUACACUGCAGCAAGGAUCAAACCAUGCAUUAUUACAGCCCGUUGAUAGGACUGGACCUGGAAGUGAUCAACAACACAUGAUCACACCUCGGUGUCUACCAUUUACAGUGAUCAACAAUGUAGCUCAGUAUGAUAAUGUGGAUCACACUGGAUCCCCUUUCAGCUGCAUACUUCAAGGUGCAACACAAAACAGCCAUACACUACCUGCAAAUACAGAUUAAUCCAAACUAUGGGGUGAGUGUAUUAUUAUGUUGGAAAACAAAUAAGGCGGUCAUGACGACCAGGGAACAAAUCGAAGAUACCAAAGACAGUGAUGACGAUGUUGUUAUAUUGGGUAGUCAUCAACAGAAAUUCGGCUCUAAAAGGGACAUCAAUGAAAGUAAAGAAGUAAACAAAAAAUAUAGUUCACUACUCUCCGUGGUAUCUACGAUGAGUAAACAAGAGUUGAUGAGCGGCCUUUUGCAGUACAUCCAACAGAUGAAUUGUGCCGAAGCCAUGGAAAAAUAUAAGUACAAAGUUCAAGGCCGCACUUUAUUAGCUUGAGUCUCAAACAGCUUCAAUCAAUACUAAAGAAGGAUGAGCCAUUGGAAAGUGAUUGCUUCAACAUGGCUAUACGAAAGUUCAUGUAUGAAAAAAUCCAGACAAUUCAUAAAACUAAAGAAGCAAUAUCGAAUCAUUGCCUGGACUUGCAAUUUUGGAGCGCUAGUGGCUUUGGUAAAGACCCGGUCCACCAUGACAACGUACAUCUUGAAAAGACCAUUGGUAGUUGGUCGGAAAUUCAUUACAAACUUUCACAUUGCAAAGCGAUUCUUAUACCAGUACGCCAUGCUCGAAGCUUUAUCGUGCUCAUAGUGGACCAAUAAAGUCAAACACUCUAUGUAUUAGACCCAAAUCCACUUAUGCCAGAAUAUAAAAAUAACCCAAACAUGAGAUACACCAGAAAACUGAUAACUAUUUGUGACCACUUUAACAAAGCUAUGAGGAAGGCAUGCCCUGGCUCUAGGUGGAAUGAAGACAUCAACUUGUGGAGGCAAGUAUUUGUCAAUAAUCCGGUUUUCGACAGGAGUUUAUCGGGUUUUGUUGUUCAUCUCUUCAUGUGUACAUGGAAAAAUAAAGAACCACAUUUGUCGGCUAUUAAUUGACGAGCUAAGGAAACUUUUUUUUGCUAAAUCUACUGAUGUACCAACAAAAUGAGUGUGAAAGCAAUAUUCCUAACGGCGCACAAGAUUUUCUGAAGUGUAUAAAAAAUGCACAACAUUAGGGUAGUUAUUUAACUAUAUGGAGUGAUUUAAUUUGAGGUGAUCAUCCAUUAGAAUUACCGUAUCUAGAAAUGCUGGAUGUUCCAUAUUUUUUGCUUGUGCUUUAUUUGUAUGACAUCAUCAAAUUUUCAUAGCUGUCUUCUAUCUAUGUUGCUUUUUAUAAUUUAAUAAACGCCAUGAGAUUGUUUUAUGCGCCAAAAAGGUUGCACUACACUUCUAUAAUGAUAACAUAUAUCUUGCUUUCAAA